rnacentral:rRNA from 1 species
CCUACGGGUGGCAGCAGUCGGGAAUAUUGCGCAAUGGAGGAAACUCUGACGCAGUGACGCCGCGUGCAGGAAGAAGGUUUUCGGAUUGUAAACUGCUUUAGACAGGGAAGAAAAAAGACAGUACCUGUAGAAUAAGCUCCGGCUAACUACGUGCCAGCAGCCGCGGUAAUACGUAGGGAGCAAGCGUUAUCCGGAUUUAUUGGGUUUAAAGGGUGCGUAGGCGGAGCGUUAAGUCAGUGGUCAAAUUGAGGGGCUCAACCCCUUCCCGCCAUUGAAACUGGCGCUCUUGAGUGGAAGAGAAGUAUGCGGAAUGCGUGGUGUAGCGGUGAAAUGCAUAGAUAUCACGCAGAACCCCGAUUGCGAAGGCAGCAUGCCGGCUUCCUACUGACGCUGAAGCACGAAAGCGUGGGGAUCGAACAGGAUUAGAUACCCGGGUAGUC